GCGCCAGUGCUGUAAGGCGUGGCCUCGCUGCCCGGAAAGCAGAAGAUGCGGGUUCGAGUCCCGCCUGGCGCA
rnacentral:tRNA from 1 species